GCAUCAGAUCUCUGUGGCCUUCAGGACGAGAGAAAAUCACAGGUCUAAAAGCCUGUGUCAGAGAUGGCUCGAGGUUUUGCUGAAGAAAAUCAUGCAGCUGUCGGAUCUUAAAAGGACAGAAACGCACACUGAUGGAGCCGUAGAGAACCGUAUUCACAGAAGCUCUCCAUGCGGGACGUUAUUCCUGAAUCCUCUUGAUUAUGUGACGGAAGGAUUUGCUCCUGAUUCUCUGUGACUCGGAGACC